UAUCUACCAAAAUGGCUAAGAAAUGAAAUUUGAAUUCAAGGACUAUUUUGGUGGAAAUACUUUGGCCCGACCGGCCAUUUUUGUCCUUCUCCCAAAAAACAAUGAUUCCAUCCCAUAAUCGAACCAAAUCCAAAUAAGAUCCUAAAAUCUAAUAGGGUUUCUUACUUAGAGUUCCAUUCAGCAUUCUCUCUAAAUGCUGCCGAUGAGAGCUAUCAUCAAUCGUGGGUUUCAUCUUCUUGUUCUUUGAAUCAUUAAUCUUCCCGGGGGUGAGCCGAUGGUAAAGAUUGUAUCUUCAACUCGCAAAGGUGCGUGCCCCUUCUUAUUUUCACCAUUUUUGAAUUGCUUUUUGUUGGAAAUUUCAAAAUUUGCUAAAGAUGGUGUUGAGCAUUAGCGCACGAGAACGGUUGUUGAAAAAGAAAAAGAAGAGGUUUUCUCCUUAUACAUAUGACACUUUUUUUCUACUAUUUUGUAAUCUGUAAAUUGAUUCUAUUUUGGGUGUGAAUCUUAAACUGAUGAUAUAGUUCUCAAGGGUUUGAUUUCUUGGUGGGAUAAGAGUUAGAUAAAAUGUUAUUUUGCAUUUGAUUAUGUAUGUUAAUAAAUCUGGUGAUAAAUUUUGUUCUAAAAUGGUAGGAUUAUGUAUCUCACAUACAAAUUUAGAUCCAAGAUUUGAACUUUUUAUUCAAUGUUCAGUAUUCAAUCAUAAAUUGAUUUACUGGGCUUUGAAAUCUAUUAUGUGUACUAGUUUGUGAAUUUUUUACAUCACUUAUAAAGAGUCAAAGUUAAAAUCAUCAGGUAUAGGUUCUGAUAGAUCUAUAACUUCUAUGUAUGAAUUUAGAAUUUGAAGUUUAUUAGUUUAAAAGUAGAAUUAUAUCAUAAUCUAUUUAAUUUUCUCAUAUGUUUGGUUUGAGUGAGAAUUACUGGUUCGAUCCGAAUUCCACGAGCAUGCACAUUUAUCCCUCUCUAGAAAAGUAUACUUUAGAAGUGAUAACAAUUAUAUUUAAUGAUUUUUGUUUAAGUAUCUCUGAAUCUCCUUCUAAAACGUUGAAUCUAAUAAAAUGGUGUCUGAAAAUGGUAAUCAUUCAACAUCAAAGUUUUAAGAGGAGACUCAAAGAUACUUAAAAUAUAAAUCAUUAAAUAUAAUCAUUAUCAUUUCUAGAGAGGGACAGAUAUGUAUGUUUGAACCCCAUUAGCUUACUCAAGCCCUGCAUAUGAGUAAAUCAAUUGGUUUAUGGUAGAAUUUCAAACUGAAACUCAUAAACUUUAAAUUCUAAAUCUACACGUAGAAGUUAUAGAUUUAUCAGAACCUAUUCCUGAUAACUUUAUCUUUGAUUCUUUUUAUGUGUGUUAAAAAUUUCACUAAUCUAGUACAAACAAUUGAUUUUGAAUCCCAAUAAAUCAGUGGUUCAAAAUCAAUCAAGUAAUAGUUCAAUUCUGAACUUUGAACCAUAAAGUUCUUCUCUUGGGGUCUAAAGUUCUAUGUGAGAUACAUGAUCCUACCAUUUCAAAACAAUUUUUAUUUCGGGAUUUACUAACACUUAUAAUCAAAUUUGAAAUAACAUUUUAUCUAGAAUUGUUAACCCUUAUCCCACACACGAAAUAAACCCUUGAGUACUAUUUCAUCAAUUUAAGAUUUACAAAAUAAUAAAGCAAAGGUGUCAUUUGUAUAAGGAGCAAACCCUUCUUUUUCUUCUUCAACAGUCGUUCUCUUACGCUUAAGGCUUGAUUCCAUCUUUUAUGGACCUUGAAAUUUUCUACAAAAAACAACUCUCGAAUGAUGAAAAUAGGAAGACAAAAAAUGGUGAAAAGUAUAAAUUUUAUGGACUCCUCUUAAACAGAAGAAUAGGAAAAGGGGUAGGAGAGAGGAGGAGGAGAGGAAGAAGAAGCGUAUGCAUGUAAAUGUAUAUCAGAUACAUAAAUCUACAUGAAAUCAGUUGGAUACAUGUACAUGUAUUUCAAAUACAUAAAUCUACAUGAAAUCAGUUGGAUACAUAUGCAUGUAUCUGAGAUACAUAGAUCUACUGUGGCUUACUUAUAUAUACGGGUGCGUUAACCAUAAUUAGCUCAUAUACUAGUGAUUUUUUUGUUUUUUACUCAAACAAAUAUUACUGAAUUGUCAUUCUUUGUAACUAUCGCUAAUAAGUCAUAGUUACUCUAUAAUGUGGAAAAUUAUGAUCCGAAUGGUCAUUCUGUAUAAUUAUCCCAAUAAGAAAAUUUGUUCUAAAUAAGGAAAAGUAUUCUUAUAUGUAAUAAUAUAUGAUUUUAUUUGAUUACAAUGAAUGAUCUUCUCAAUAAUUUUUUCAUUAUCAACACAUACUCUUGAAACAUUCUAGAAAAGAGUAAGUGAAAUCCAAAUGCACUAAAAGUAAUUAUAAUGAUUUUCCAUUAAUCAUGCAUAUUUCAAUUGUGAUUAAUAUCAAUCCUACUUGAAUAUCGUCCUCAUCAAACUAAAUUGACCUUGGAAUUGAAAGAAUAAUUGUUGAAAGAAUAAUUGCUCCUUUGUGAUUAUUGAAUGGGUCCAAGCCCAACGCUAAAGAGGACUUCCAAUGUGUCAGUUGCUACUUUUCCGUAAGUAUUUUCGGGACCUAUGUGUUUAACUUAUACGAGGAAAGUAUGUCCAGUGUCUUUUAAAAUUUAAAAUUUUAAAAUUUUUAUCUCACCAAAAUAUUUGAUCUUAAGUUUUUAUUCCAAUUUGUUAAAUGUUUUAAAAAUAAUUCUAACUUGAAAAGAAUCGCUUGAACAUAAAACUAACAACUUUGUGAUGAUGAAAGGAGUACGUCAGAUCUAUAAAAUUUCAGAUGAAAUACGUCAUUUGAAAAGCUUACAAUGAGCCAAUUUCUUACAGGCAUCCCCAAAAAUUUACCUUUAUAAAUCUCCAUGUUUUUUGUUUGGCAAUAAAAAUAAAUUAUAAACUUUAAGAAUGUACUUUCCAUAAGAAAUCACCAAUGUAACAUAAAAUCUAUGUCUAUAUCUAGGGAUUUUAGGCUAUCUUUUAAGGAACUUAUAGCCAAUCAUAAGUCUGCUCCAGUAGUGCUACUUGAGACGCAUAGGACAAGCCACCAGUAUCUGCCACACGAGUUUAGUUUUUCGAAUGUCCUAGCUGUCCCGGCUGACAAACUGGGGGCAUGAUACUUCUCUGGCAUAAUGACUUACUCAGUAUCUCAAGUGUUUCUCUAACGCAUCAAGAGAUUCGGUGCAUGGAUCAGGUAAUAUACUCUCAUUUUCAAUGGUUGUUUUCUACUAGCUUUUAUGCUCAUAAUAAUACAACUAGUAAGGUCAACCUAUGGGACAACCUAAAGAUGGUGUCGGAUAGUAACUUUGGUCCUUGUUUACUAGGUGGAGAUUUUAAUGAAGUCACUAUAUCUAUCGAGAAAUUUAGAGGGCAGACUAUUGGAUUUAAUAGGACUGAUAGGUUUAUACAAUGCCCCAACUUUUGUAAAAUGAUAGAUUUAGGCUUUAGUGGUAGCAAAUUUACUUGGAUAAAUCGGAGGCAUAACAACCGCUUGAUUCUAGUAUGCCUAGACAGAUUUUAUAGUAACACUGCUUGGUUACAGGCUUUCCCAGAGGCCCGUGUCAAGCACCUGCCCAACAUUUACUCAGAUCACUGCCCUAUACUUUUUUAACUAUCAAGUUCUCGACCAAUCCAAAACAAAUAGUUUCGUUUAGAGUCAAUGUGGACGUCCCACCCCCAAUUCCCGCUUGUAGUCUCCCAGUCUUGGGAUGUUUCCAACAAUAUCCUCAUGCCCUACAUUCGUUGAUUUCAAGAUGAUAUCCUAAACUGGAACAAGAAUAUGUUUGGAAAUAUAUUCCACAAGAAACGACGCCUCCUCGCUAGACUAACAGGAGUUCUGAGAUCGCCUGUCUACCCUACAUGUUCCUUGUUACAAAAUCUAGAAAUAGAACUUACUAAGAAUUACAAAGUACUACUUCUCCUUAAACAUAAAUUCUGAAAAAUUAAGUCAAGAGUGUCCUAGCUUAACGAGGGAGAUGCAAAUACCAAAUUUUUUCACUUGUCAGUCCCUAAUCAAAGGCAUAGGAACUGAAUUGUGGCGCUUAAGGAUGAGGUAGGCAACUGGGUGGAGGGUUAUGGUAACCCGGGAAAACAUAUUACAAUUUUUUUCCAUAAACUCUACUCGUCGGACCUUAUUGCUUUUUCAAAUCAGUUCGCUCGUGCUCCAACCCACUUCAUCCCUAUGUCGACACACGCCUCUCUUGAUCUUCCUAUGCGCCCGACUGAAGUUGUGGCAGGCAUCAAUUCUUUCAAACCUUUUAAGGCUCCGGGACACGAUGGUCUGUAUCCUUUCUUCUUUCAAAAGUAUUGGUCAAUUGUGGGAAGCUCGCUUCACCAAUUUUGUUCUACGACCUUUACGAAAUGGACCAUCCCAGAAGGCGUAAAUUAGACUUAUAUAUGCUUGGUACCAAAAGCUAGUACUGCGGCGACAAUUACUCAAUUCCGGCCUAUAAGCCUUUGUAAUACCAUUUAUAAGGUAAUUACAAAAAUCUUAAUGACAAAAUCAAGCCUUUCUUGCAAGAGAUGAUUGGGUUGACUCAAUCUAGCUUCUUAGUAGGAAGGAGGGCUUCAGACAAUACAAUAGUGGUUCACGAAAUACUGCAUUUCCUUAAAAAAAAAACUAGAGGUCAAAAAUAAUACAUGAUGCUAAAACUGAUUUGGAAAAGGUUUUUGAUUGGCUUGAAUGGUCCUUUAUAUAUGAUACACUUCUUUUCUUUAACUUCUCCCCAAAUAUGAUCAAACUUAUAAUGUAAUGUAUUUGUACCCCUACGAUAUCUAUCCUAAUUAACGGUAAUGCUACUCCCCCUUUUUCUUCUACUAGGGGCAUUUGAUAAGGAGAUCUGUUGUCACCGUAUAUAUUUAUCCUAUGCAUGGAAAGACUCUCCCACCGUAUAGACACAACAGUAGAUCACCUUUUAUGAAAGCCCAUUACUUUCUCCCUGAGGCGAAUUCAACUCUCUCAUCUCCUUUUUACUGAUGACAUUAUUCUGUAUGGAGAGUUAGAUGAUGAGACUAUGUGCACAAUCCCAACCAUAAUGACUCACUUUGGAGCAGUUUCGGGACAAAGAAUUAACUACUUCAAAUCAAAAAUCUUUUUCUCAAAAAAUAUGUCGGCUACCAAAAGGAAACUCACUGCUGACUCCCUAAAUAUAUUGGAAGGCUUAUCUUUUGGGAAAUACUUGGGUUUCCCAAUCUCAAAUACCAAAUUAGUUAGAGUUGAUUAUUAAUUUCUAUUGACAACUUUAGGCGGCAUCUGACUAACUGGAAAACUACUUUCCUAUCUCUUAUGGGUAGAGCUACCUUAAUCAAAUCCACCCUUAACAGCAUUCUGAAUCACCUCAUGCAUCUUUUUUAGAUCCCGAGAUACAUUACCAAAUGUUUGGAGCGCUAUGAGCACAACUUCUUUUGGGGAUCCACCACAGCCAAAAAAAGAUACAUCUCCUCAAAUAGUCAAAUCUUACAAAACCCAAGGGCAUCGGGGGGUUGGGUAUUCAAGAUCUUUGGAUAAAAAACAAAGCACUUCUGGCGGGCACGGCUUGGAGAGAUUUCCACUCAAACACUCUUUGGGAUAGCCUCUUAAAAGGUAAGUAUUCACACCAUACUCAUCGUGCCCCCUCCUCGGUAACGUCUUCAACUACUUUGAAAGCCCUAACGAUUGGUUGGAACCACUAUCAGGUCGGCCUUCGCUGGCAACUUGCCAAUGGGCAAUUCAUCAAUUUUUUCAAUGACGUUAGGGUUAAGCCAAACUUCCUUAUUCGUAACCAAAUUCAUGGGGCCUUUUCAGAGGCAAGAGAUGUCCUAUCACAUCUCGAAUGUUAGAAGGAAAGACGCAGGGGAUUUCUCUAAAUUAUCGGUCCAAUUAUCAAAAUCAACGACGUCCAAAAUUCAACAAGUAUACUUCCCCAGGUUCUCGAGCUCCUAUGAUCGUAUCUCUUGGGGCCUAACUACCACGGGGUCUUUUUCUGUUUAAUCAUGUACUGCAGCACUAGAAAGUGCUUACGACACAAAUCCUCCAAACAUAUUACCAUCCCAAAACCUUAACUCUUUCACUUGGAUUUGGAAGCUUUUGGUCUCUCCUAAGUUAAAAUAUUUUCUGUGGCUCCUAAAUUAUGGACGAACAGUUAACUCUAUCUUGUUUUUCCACAUCAAAGUUGUAGAGUCUCCUAUGUGUAGGCUUUUCAAUUCAAUGACUGAAGAAAUAAGUGCAGACCUAUUCGUGCUCUGUCCAAAGGUCGCACCAAUAUGGACCAGCUUAGAAGUCACGAAUCAGGUGAAUACUCUAGUCUCUAUUGAUACUCACCCGUCCCAUUGGCUGCAAAAUCUAAUUCACCUCUAUUUAAACCCCUCCCAAGGGGUGUUGUUACGCACGUAGAUAAGAUCUACAUUAGUUUUUGUAUCUGGCAUAUCUGGCUUGCACUAAACAAGUUUAUAUUUGAAGGCAUUCCAUUCUCGCCCUCUCUAAAAAAUGUCUCACAAAUGGCUGAAGAAUUCUAGUUUUUAGCGGGCCCUACAGGGCCCAAUAAAACCUGCAUUGCUAUGUCUACCAAGUGGAAACCUCCUGCGCAAGUAAACUACAUGCUCAAUACUGACUAUGCCCCCGAGGCUUCAUCUAUAAGUCUAUACCAAUUCGGUCUAGGUGGCAUCUUCAGAUAUUAUAGAGGAGAAUGGGUAUUAGGCUUUCAUGGUUAUUGCAAUGCUAUGGAUGUUCUGGAAGGAGAAACCCACGCCUUGUUACUAGGACUCCAGCUAGCCCACCAGAACAACCUCUUUCCACUAGAAAUUGGGAUAGAUUCUCAACAACUAGUUCGACUUACUUGAUCCUAAUGCAGAUUCUAAAUCUACUUUGAUAUCUGAUUGCAGGUACCUCCUGGGCUUACUGGAUAGUCCCCUGCUGCACCACUUCUUCAGAGAGCAGAAUAAGCUAGCUGACGGAUUAGCUAGAUUACCCAUUACAACCUCUACUACUACGUUUUGGACUCCACCACAGUCACUUCAUGACAUUUUGUAUGCGAAUAUGAAUGGAGUAAUAUCAG
rnacentral:lncRNA from 1 species